GGAUGGGUGGCUGAGUGGUCGAAAGCACCUCGCUGCUAAUGAGGCAAGAGCGAAAGCUCUUCGUGGGUUCAAAUCCCACCCCAUCCG
rnacentral:tRNA from 1 species